GGCUCAUGCCGGGCAGCUACACAUGCAAGUCGAGCGGAAACGAGUUAUCUGAACCUUCGGGGAACGAUAACGGCGUCGAGCGGCGGACGGGUGAGUAAUGCCUAGGAAAUUGCCCUGAUGUGGGGGAUAACCAUUGGAAACGAUGGCUAAUACCGCAUGAUGCCUACGGGCCAAAGAGGGGGACCUUCGGGCCUCUCGCGUCAGGAUAUGCCUAGGUGGGAUUAGCUAGUUGGUGAGGUAAGGGCUCACCAAGGCGACGAUCCCUAGCUGGUCUGAGAGGAUGAUCAGCCACACUGGAACUGAGACACGGUCCAGACUCCUACGGGAGGCAGCAGUGGGGAAUAUUGCACAAUGGGCGCAAGCCUGAUGCAGCCAUGCCGCGUGUGUGAAGAAGGCCUUCGGGUUGUAAAGCACUUUCAGUCGUGAGGAAGGUAGUGUAGUUAAUAGCUGCAUUAUUUGACGUUAGCGACAGAAGAAGCACCGGCUAACUCUGUGCCAGCAGCCGC
rnacentral:rRNA from 1 species